rnacentral:ncRNA from 1 species
GGUUAAGCGACUAAGCGUACACGGUGGAUGCCUAGGCAAUCAGAGGCGAUGAAGGACGUGCUAAUCUGCGAUAAGCGUCGGUAAGGUGAUAUGAACCGUUACAACCGACGAUUUCCGAAUGGGGAAACCCAGUGCAAUUCGUUGCACUAUCGUUUGAUGAAUACAUAGUCAAACGAAGCGAACCGGGGGAACUGAAACAUCUCAGUACCCCGAGGAAAAGAAAUCAACCGAGAUUCCCCUAGUAGCGGCGAGCGAACGGGGAGCAGCCCAGAGUCUUAAUCAGCAUUAGCAUCAGGAGAACGGUCUGGAAAGUCCGGCAGUAAAGGGUGAUAGCCCCGUAUCCGAAGGUGUUAGUGUUGUGAACUCGACGAGUAGGGCGGGACACGUGUUAUCCUGUCUGAAUAUGGGGGGACCAUCCUCCAAGGCUAAAUACUCCUGAUUGACCGAUAGUGAACCAGUACCGUGAGGGAAAGGCGAAAAGAAC